CGAUGGUUGUACGGGGGAACUCUAGAGAUUAGAGUUUGAUCCUGGCUCAGAACGAACGCUGGCGGCGUGGAUAAGACAUGCAAGUCGAACGCUAAUCACGAGGUAGCAAUAUUUCGUGGUUGGAGUGGCGCAAGGGUGCGUAACGCGUGGGUAAUCUACCGUGAAGUUUGGGAUAACUCGCUGAAAGGCGAGCUAAUACCGGAUGUGAAAAUAGAGAGGCAUCUCUUUAUUUUCAGAGCUGGGGACCGUAAGGCCUGGCGCUUCACGAUGAACCCGCGACCUAUCAGCUAGUUGGUGAGGUAACGGCCCACCAAGGCUAAGACGGGUAGCUGGUCUGAGAGGACGACCAGCCACACUGGAACUGAGACACGGUCCAGACACCUACGGGUGGCAGCAGUCGAGAAUUUUUCACAAUGGGCGAAAGCCUGAUGGAGCGACGCCGCGUGGGGGAUGAAUGGCUUCGGCCCGUAAACCCCUGUCAUUUGCGAACAAACCUUGCUAUUUAAAAGAUGGCAAGUUGAUGGUAGCGAAAGAGGAAGGGACGGCUAACUCUGUGCCAGCAGCCGCGGUAAUACAGAGGUCCCAAGCGUUGUUCGGAUUCACUGGGCGUAAAGGGUGCGUAGGUGGCGGGGUAAGUCGGAUGUGAAAUCUCCGAGCUCAACUCGGAAAUGGCAUUGGAAACUACCCUGCUUGAGGGUUGGAGGGGGGACUGGAAUACUUGGUGUAGCAGUGAAAUGCGUAGAUAUCAAGUGGAACACCAGUGGCGAAGGCGAGUCCCUGGACAACUCGUGACACUGAGGCACGAAAGCUAGGGGAGCAAACAGGAUUAGAUACCCUGGUAGUCCUAGCUGUAAACGGUGCACGUUUGCUGUAAAAGGAAUCGACCCCUUUUGUGGCGUAGCCAACGCGUUAAACGUGCCGCCUGGGAAGUACGGUCGCAAGAUUAAAACUCAAAGAAAUUGACGGGGGCCUGCACAAGCGGUGGAGUAUGUGGCUCAAUUCGAUGCAACGCGAAGAACCUUACCUGGCCUUGACAUGCAAGUAGUAGAAGGGUGAAAGCCUGACGAGGUAGCAAUACCAGCUUGCACAGGUGCUGCAUGGCUGUCGUCAGCUCGUGUCGUGAGAUGUUGGGUUAAGUCCCGCAACGAGCGCAACCCCUGUGUCCUGUUGCCACCCCUACGAGAGUAGGGAGCACUCUGGACAGACUGCCUCGCUUAAACGAGGAGGAAGGUGGGGAUGACGUCAAGUCAGUAUGGCCCUUACGGCCAGGGCUGCACACGUACUACAAUGCCCGGCACAAAGGGAAGCAAGACCGCGAGGUGGAGCAAAUCCCCUAAAACCGGGCCCAGUUCAGAUUGAAGGCUGCAACUCGCCUUCAUGAAGCUGGAAUCGCUAGUAAUGGCGCAUCAGCUACGGCGCCGUGAAUACGUUCCCAGGCCUUGUACACACCGCCCGUCACAUCAUGAAAGCCGUUUGUACCCGAAGUCACCGUGCCAACCGCAAGGGGGCAGGUGCCGAAGGUAUGGAUGGUGAUUGGGAUGAAGUCGUAACAAGGUAGCCGUAAAUCGUCGACUGCAGGGCAUGCAAGUCAGGGCC
rnacentral:rRNA from 1 species